rnacentral:rRNA from 1 species
UACAGAGGUCUCAAGCGUUGUUCGGAUUCAUUGGGCGUAAAGGGUGCGUAGGCGGCGCGGUAAGUCGGGUGUGAAAUCUUGGAGCUUAACUCCGAAACUGCAUUCGAUACCGCCGUGCUUGAGGACUGGAAAGGAGACUGGAAUUUACGGUGUAGCGGUGAAAUGCGUAGAUAUCGUAAGGAAGACCAGUGGCGAAGGCGGGUCUCUGGACAGUUCCUGACGCUGAGGCACGAAGGUCAGGGGAGCAAACGGG